CAAUACGCAUAAAACUUCUUAUAUUAUAUGUCGCUUCAUAAGAGGCGCACGUGUUUUUUAGAAAUUGUCUUCUGUGGAGUGUAGAUGCUUGAUAGUUGAUUGAAAAUUAUAAAUAUGAGAGUUAAUAUAAGAUCGCUUUUAUGGAUUGUUUUAAUCGUACCUGUUUGUUCGAUGAAAACAUCAAAGAAAUUAACAACCGGAUGUUUUUAUAAAUAUGAUUAUAAUACUUGUGAAAUUUAUAUCGAUUGCAUAGACAGUGUAAAUACAUAUGAAAUAAACUAUGACGCCUUAUAUAUACAAUGUAGUCAAUUUUAUACUUCUAUAGCUUUUAGAAGAACGGAUUUUGGUGAUAUGGAUACUAUUUCAUGGAUAAACAAUGAUAAUAAACGAAUUGUUUCACUCGAUUUAAGUCAUAACCAAUUCAAAUAUAUGCCUACGUUGGAUCUUAUGCCAAAUUUGAAAAAAUUAAACAUGUCCCACAAUAUUUUAAAUGUUGCCAAACUAUCGAACGAAGUAAAUUAUAAAUUACAUAUAAUUGAUUUUUCGUACAAUAAAAUUAUGCAAAUAGAAUUAAA